rnacentral:sRNA from 1 species
UAUUCUGCCCCAUGGGGAAGGAUGAGAAGCUUCGACUAAGGUUCGACUCGAGCGAAGCGAGAGAACGUUGCCGCAGGCAACGGCCCGAAGGGCGAGGC